ACCUCAAACGGUUAUAAUUCACGUGCGAGCAGUUCCGAGCUUUGGGCAAAAUAGUAGAGAACAGUGUAUGGUGAAGGGCAUAUGAGGCAAUAUCCAAUAAGAGCGCGUUGAUUACUAACGAGCUACGUACAUUCCAAUUGCCAAUAAGUGAUAAAGGGAAAGACAACAGACGCAACCUCGAUUGAUAAAAACAAAGAACAUUGCCCACAAUUUAAUUUCAAGUGCAUUCAUAUUUGUAUACUAGAAGUGAAAUACAUACAUACAUACAUACUUGCCCAUAGCUCACCUGAGUAAGCGAUUCUUCCGUUGAGCAUCAAACGCUAACUUUAGUAAAACACGUCACACGAACCAUCAGUACAAACACUUGCGCUUAUCAGACUCGUAUCAGUAAUUGUCCGCCAGCCCGCCUGCUCCCCUGCUCGCCUACUCGCCUGCUUCAUUUGUGCUCCAGCAAAAACAUACAAUUCAAUAUCGUCAAGAUCGUUAUCGCCAAGAAAAAAUUAGCAAUCGAACAGUUUUUAUAAUGCCAGCAUAAAUACGGGCGGAAAUGGAUUGUAUACAUUGGUAAUUCGAACGGGGGGAAAAAAGGUACUAUUCUGUUCAUCA